ACUCUGGAACCAUCGGCGCUGACUGAAAGUGAAGCAGCAGCUGCAUUGUGGGAAAGCUGGCUGGAGUCUCUCUGAUAAGCAGGCAUUCUUUUUUUCCAGCCCUUCACUGUGUUGGUUCUGCCCACAUUUGUGGCACAUUCUAGGCACUCGCCAUCAUCAAAUAAACCUCUGGAGCUGUGAUAUUACAAACGUGGAAAGAUGAUGUACUCUCAACAAGUUUCAAUGAAGCAAAGAGACACGGAGCAAUCCAACGUGUAAUAAAAAAAGGCAGCCUGGAUUGUUGUUGCUGUUUUUGAAAUUUAAGCUGGUUUUCAAUUAAAUUCAGUAAAUGGUCCAGGACU